rnacentral:rRNA from 1 species
CGGGCUCAACCUGGGAACUGCAUUCGAAACUGGCAGGCUUGAGUCUUGUAGAGGGGGGUAGAAUUCCAGGUGUAGCGGUGAAAUGCGUAGAGAUCUGGAGGAAUACCGGUGGCGAAGGCGGCCCCCUGGACAAAGACUGACGCUCAGGUGCGAAAGCGUGGGGAGCAAACAGGAUUAGAUACCCUGGUAGUCCACGCCGUAAACGAUGUCUACUUGGAGGUUGUGCCCUUGAGGCGUGGCUUCCGGAGCUAACGCGUUAAGUAGACCGCCUGGGGAGUACGGCCGCAAGGUUAAAACUCAAAUGAAUUGACGGGGGCCCGCACAAGCGGUGGAGCAUGUGGUUUAAUUCGAUGCAACGCGAAGAACC